CAAAAACAAAACAAAAAAACAUUGAUACAUAUGAAUGUAAAUUUUUCUUAAAAUAAAUUAUUAAGAGAUUCUAUGAUCUAUCUUCACCUCUUCUUCUUAGUACGCUCAAACGGAUUUCAUGUUCUUGUCAAUCAAUUUAACGAUUUUCUUCGUGGUCGAAGAUUGGUCUCGUGCCUCCUCUCAUUUCUUUAUCACUAAAUAAAGAGUAUCGUGUUUUGAAACAGUACUUGGGAAUAAAUUUUGUUGUGGAAUCAAGAUCUUUACUCGCAAGCUCUCUCGUGAUAUCCUUCUAUUUUGUCUGAGUUAUCAGCUCUUCCCACACCUUUCUCGAAUACUGGCAUUGAAAAAACAAAUGCUCUCUCGUCUCCAACGGAUUUUUACAAAAUACGCAAUUUGUAUCCGCAUUUUGGUUCCAUUUAAUCAUUCUUU
rnacentral:sRNA from 1 species